GUGUGAAAAGAUAAAAUUUCUUGACAUUCAAGAUUUUCAAGUGUUUUUAUUUUUAUGAAUGAAUAAAAAAGCAUUGGUUAAGCACUUGCCAUGUGUCAGUCAGUGUGCUAAGUGAUGAAGAUUCAAAUGUGAAAAUAAAGACCUCCUCUAGUCUGAAAGAGUUUACAUGAGACAUCAACACAAUGAGAAAUAGUGGUCAGAAAGGGUAUUUUGGAAAAGGAUAAUGAGUAGAGCCAUAGGACAUUUGAUAGACAUGUCCUUUCCAUAAAGGGUAAUAGAGAUUUUUGAUUGCUAUUCAGAGCUAGGGUUGGAAGGUAGUGGGGAAAGGGUGUGCACAAGAUGGUAUAGAGUAGCAGUGGCAGAAGAGCAGCAGCUUUUUGUUCUGGGUCGCACUAGUUGUGGAGAACUGUCACCAGUCAGGAGUACAGGUCCCCCUGGUGGAAGCUGACGAUCUGGGUCACAGGUAUGGAAGCAUGGCAUGAAGAUUGCUUGAUAGAAGUAGUAUUUAAAUAUGUAGGCAAUGCUUUUCUGAUUACCAGUAAGUUUAAAAACAUUUCGAGAAUGCCCCAACAUUUGGAUGGCUUAAAAUAAAGGAUUAGGAUAAGCCUAGGGGCUUAUCAGUCUAUGAUUUCUAAUUUGCACACUCUCAGUAACCAUGUAUGCAUUAUAGAUACAUUUAUUCAUCAAGCAGUGUCUCAUUGUUAUACAUUCCAUUCUCCAUCCCUUAUGGUCUUUUACUUCUAGGGGGACCUGCUGUUACAGACUAACGAGAACCAAUCUUACUUUUAACACGAUAAUUAGAAAGUCUGUAUAUCCGAAUUGAAAUAUUCUUAGGUUUUGGUUGAUGUUUAGUUUCCUUCUUUAUUCCCUACAUGUCCAGGCUCUCCUUCCCUCCCGCUCCAAAUAAAAAUAGCUUCUAAAGCUCUGAGGGAAAACAGCUUCACCAGAUUGGGAAACAUGAAGAUUAGGGAGGCUAAGAGUGACUCAUCUAG